AUGGUUUCCUGGAGCGAUGGGUCAAGCUGUUCUUCUUCGGACGACGAGUCAGUGACUAGCCAGCUUUCUAGGACUAUCCCAUGCUAUGAAUGGAGUGGCGUUGCUCAUGAGCUCUCCUCUCGUUGUCUGCAUCGCGAGCCUUGCCUCAGGCUAGUAGCAUUUGACUCUACGGACACUGGCCGACGUUUUCUUGCUUGUGCUCAGGAGAAGGCUGAACUAAAGUGCAACUAUUUGGAGUGGAUAGACCCUGAGUGGUCAGUGGCUUUGCAGUUUUGCCUAAAUGAAUUGUGGAGCAUGUAUGAGAAAGAAAUGAAGGACAUGCUGAAAGACAAUGUUCAGCUUGCUGAAUACAAUUACAAAGUAGUUGGAGAAAAGAGGAAGAUGGAAGAAGAGCUGAGAUUUUUCAAACUUGAUUUUGCAAAAAUGGUUGCUGACAAGGAGGCUGCUAUUACUGAGCUGGGUAAUACUAGGUUGGCUCUCAAUGAUCUGAAAGAGGAGAUGGAGAAGAAGAAGCUGGCAGACCAUGGUUGCACAAACCUACAUCAGUUACCCAGGGCAAAGGCAGAGAAGGAGAGGGACAAGCUUGUGGUAGAGAGAGAACAAGUGCUCACAGAGAGAGACCAACUAAAGGAAGAGAAGAAAAGCUAG
rnacentral:rRNA from 1 species